rnacentral:rRNA from 1 species
GAUGAACGCUAGCUACAGGCUUAACACAUGCAAGUCGAGGGGAAACGAUAUUGGAAGCUUGCUUCUGAUAGGCGUCGACCGGCGCACGGGUGAGUAACGCGUAUCCAACCUGCCCAUCACUUGGGGAUAACCUUGCGAAAGUAAGACUAAUACCCAAUGACGUCUCUAGAAGACAUCUGAAAGAGAUUAAAGAUUUAUCGGUGAUGGAUGGGGAUGCGUCUGAUUAGCUUGUUGGCGGGGUAACGGCCCACCAAGGCGACGAUCAGUAGGGGUUCUGAGAGGAAGGUCCCCCACAUUGGAACUGAGACACGGUCCAAACUCCUACGGGAGGCAGCAGUGAGGAAUAUUGGUCAAUGGACGAGAGUCUGAACCAGCCAAGUAGCGUGCAGGAUGACGGCCCUAUGGGUUGUAAACUGCUUUUAUAAGGGAAUAAAGUGAGUCUCGUGAGACUUUUUGCAUGUACCUUAUGAAUAAGGACCGGCUAAUUCCGUGCCAGC